rnacentral:rRNA from 1 species
CACGGUAAACGAUGGAUGCCCGUUCUUCGGUCAUAUGGCCGUGGGACCAAGCGAAAGCAUUAAGCAUCCCACCUGGGGAGUACGCCGGCAACGGUGAAACUCAAAGGAAUUGACGGGGGCCCGCACAAGCGGAGGAACAUGUGGUUUAAUUCGAUGAUACGCGAGGAACCUUACCCGGGCUUGAAUUGCAGAGGAAAGAUCCAGAGAUGGUGAUGCCCUUCGGGGCCUCUGUGAAGGUGCUGCAUGGUUGUCGUCAGCUCGUGCCGUGAGGUGUCGGCUUAAGUGUCAUAACGAGCGCAACCCCUCUCCGUAGUUGCCAUCAGGUUAUGCUGGGGACUCUGCGGACACUGCCACCGUAAGGUGUGAGGAAGGUGGGGAUGACGUCAAAUCAGCACGGCCCUUACGUCCGGGGCUACACACGUGUUACAAUGGGGUGUACAGAAAGUCGGCGUCACGCAAGUGCCGUCCAAUCUUUAAAACACCUCUCAGUUCGGACUGGGGUCUGCAACCCGACC